GGAAAGGGGAGGGGCGGCGGAAGUGGAGACGAGGCACAGCUUUCUGGAGGUCUUCAGGAGCUGCUUCGUCAGGGUCAGGGAGCUUGUCGAGAUUCCUGUGCCAAAGUUAUCAGAGGAGAGCAAUUACCCACCGUGUCCACCUCAUACCAUGCUUUUUUAGCAGAAAAGGUCUUCCUGCUUAAAAAAGUCACUCCUCCACCACGAGCUCCUAAAUCACACGUCAGCACACGGGUUCUGCAUGAGACGGGGGCCUCGAAUGAGCAGCAGGUCCUGGAAAUGAGCAGCAGCUGCAGAACUACAGCGGUAUGGGGAGAGAGAAGCAAUGCACGUUCCCCUGGAACAUUAGGUCCCUUCAUUUUUCUCUUCCUGUUAUCUCUUAUGACAUCACACCUGCGUUAUGUUCAUUUAAACUCACCGUGCACAUUGUUGCUUUAAAAAAAAAAAAAAAAAUUAUUUUCUCCCAUGACUAUCAUUAUACAGCAGUUACUGAUGGCCUACCGAAAAUGACCUAAAUCCUGUUUUUUGUGAUGAUGCUAAAACAAAGACUUGUGUUGUUUCGCUGACCAGGUAAAUAAAUAAUUUACGUAAAACCCA
rnacentral:lncRNA from 1 species